CGCACCGGGCUUCUCUGGCAUCGGCAGUCUACGUGCUCCUCGCGCUGGCACCGAGCAGCCACUCCCCGCUGGGUUUGGCAAAGGCUGCUCUUGUAGAAUUUUAAAGGAUUUAGAGUCUCAUUAUUCCUUGAAUCAUAACUUCUGCGGCCGUAGGGAAGUGGACAGGUUGAGGCGGAGACAGGACAAAGUGGAAAACAGCUCCCAAAUAACAUACCUAGGGAGAACAUCUUGUUGGUUCUUAGUUAUUAAAGUAUUUGAUCACAUUUUAGAAAUUCUGAUAACUUUGGGCAAGCUGACAGGACAUAGUUUGAGAUGGCGAUAGAACAUAUUGUGAAUUACAGCCUUGGAUACAGAAUAGCAUUGGAACUGAUUUAAUCGAUAAAUUGUUCUGACCCAUUCAGGGCAUUUUGGGGACAGACUCUACAGUUUACUAGUGGCCCCAGGACAUCCUGCAAAAGAGGUGAAAUCAGUAUUGGAGAAGUGGUCUCAUGAAGAUGGGAGCACGACUACUACAAUUGACUGCUGACUUCUCACCCAAGGAAGUAACUGUAUCCCAGCCUAAUCUCAGUGGAUAAGCCCACAGGGUUAAGGAGUAAUCAUCAUGCUCCAUUUCGUUUUUGAGCCAUCUUCAGCCUUUGAGUCCUUAAGCUUUUUGGAGACAGUUUGUGGAGAAGGUCCUCACAACAUUGUGCAACAAGUGUGAAAGAUGUAGUCUCCAUUUACGGCUACUGAAAUAGGCUGAGAGAGGGACCAGCAGCACCCAGUGGCCAGCAGCGUACUCUUUCACCUCUUCUUGGGUGACUUUGUGGAAUGCUCCAAUGUGACAUCUCCCUGUGAACGCCUUUCCUGACACCCUAAAAAGUGUCAGGAAUUUCCAGCAAGUUCCAGAGAGCAGGUUUCCAGCAAGUUUGGUCAGUAUGACACCACAGCGAUAUCUCUGCCAUUCACUGAACUUGGAUUCUUCCUUCUUCAGUGAGGACUGGCCCUCGUCAUGCUAGGAAGUGUGAGGGCAAGAGCUGGAAUACACUGAGGCAGCCUUGCUGUUGGGGGUUAUUGGCAGCUGUUGGGGGUUAGAGACAGGACUCUCAUGGGUGAAGAAACUGAGGCUUGGAGGGUCCGAAUAACUUGCCCAAUAUCACAGAAAGGAUGUUCAAGAAAAAGAACAACUUCAGUGGAAGAAGAAGAAGAUAGGAGCCCAGGUCCUGUGUUUCACCAAGACAGCCGUGCAAAGCAGAUGCUGCCAAAAAGGUGCAAAGUGGUUUGUCAGCUCUUCUGCAUGUUCUAACAAAUUAGACAUGCAUCCCAAAAGGUUUCAAAACAAAUUAGCAAGAGGAGGAAAGAGGAGAGGGAGAAACUGUGCACACCACCAGAAUGUUAUAGUAGGCGAUAUCAUGAAAGCAAUGUUGGAACUUUAUACUCAGGUUUCCUAGACUUUCCAUCACCACCAGUGAAUUCUGAGUGACAAUAGUGUGGAAUUUGGAAGAAUGGAAGAGAAACUGAAGUGGAGAGAUGGUGAAAGAGAAGAAAAAAUGAAGAAAGAUGCUUGCAAAAAUACUGCUGUGGGUCCUGAGAUGAGGAUUCUGGGAGGGCUGAAAUGGAUGCCCCUGACAGCUCCCUUUGAGUUCCUGUUCAUCUGAAGUACACCAGCUUUCUAGAUAUGCUGUCACUUUCCUUCUGCAGAGCCACAGUGGUGUCCUGUCUUCUCAGACCUCUUCUCACCUCAAAUCACUUAGGACUCGGCCACCAGACAGAUUUGGGAUUUCAGAACUUUUCAGAUGUUAGAAAGGUAAAUGGUAUAUAUUGCAUAUGUAGUAUUUCCAGUAGAGUCUGGGUCAGCACCUCAUAAGCAAAUGUAUUAAUAUUUUGACCACAACAUAUAUGCAUCGCAUGAGCAUGAAGAUGCUGACAAAGCUGUUCCUACACUUCCUGUGCUGGCUGGGAAGGGAUCUGAUUCGGGCUGAGCCUUAAGAAUCACAGUUCCAAGCUUUCUUCUCAUUCCAGAUUUUAGUCGGGAAAGUAGGCAUUCUGGAAGUAGAGUCCGUAUCUAUACUUUAUAUGUUCCCCUUAGGUUUGAUGAGCAAAAAGUAAUAAAGGAAACACAAACUCAGGAAAGAAAAGAUUUUUCUAGGAAAGGACGGUCAGCGGGGAGCGGGAUCGUCUUAGACCAUGAGGGAGGAUGAGGUGCUGAGAGCUGGAAGAAUGAAGAGAAAAGUGGCCUGAUGAGGAGGUGGAGGUGUGAGAAGUGACAAAGAGUCUGUGAGGAGAAUGAGGAAGGGCAACCCGAGAAAUCAAGAAAAAUCAGGAGACAAAUCUCCUAGAAGCCAAGAAGAUGGUGGUAAACUAAUAAGUGAUGAGAGCAGUUCUUUUCUAAAUGUGAUGAGGAAUUACGGAAUCAUAAAAUGGAAGCAGAGUUAAACUCAGACAUGUGGGCACUCAAGGCAAUUAGGAGCUUUCUGCGAUGAGAAAGGGAUCAGACUGAUCCUUAAGACUUUAUGCAACCCCAGAGUAUUGCAGCCACCUGCAUGCCGAAGGUGUCAAGAGUGUUCUCACUGCUGCCUAUAGGAGGGUCUUCAGCCUCCAGUGAUCCAAAGUACCAGGGGAAAAGUCUACUGAAGGGAGAGAACAUUUCAGCUAGGGGAUAUAACUUAAGGUGAGAAAUAAAAGUGAGACGAAGAAAACAUGUUUGGUGAACUGGUUUGACCAGAACUCAUGUUUCAAGUUGGAAAUGUUCAAAUAGGAGGAAGAUAACUAAGGUAAAAAUAUUAAAGACUACUACUGACCUGUGACUGCUUCGGCCAACUGAAUAGGGAAGAGUGAUGCUGUGCUGUUUCCAGGCCUGUUCUUUAAAAGUACUUGGAAGCUUCUGCCUUGGCCUCUUUGUGCCUGAGUUGCUGUAUAAGAAUCUGACUACCUUGCUGGAGAGACCUUGUGGAGAAGACUUGACCUUAUAUGCAGAGGUAGAGGGGCCCUGGUUAGUCCAGCCAUCUAGCCAUCCUGUCAAAAUAGCAGGAGUAUGAUGGCCAAUGGAUCCAAAACCUAUCCUAUAUCUACAUGUUGGUGGCCACAUUAAUCUGACAUCUGACAGCAAGAGCGAUGAUUGGGUUCACUGGAAAUCUUUGUGAAGUACGAGUGAAGUCCUUGUGAAGUCAGAGUUUCCUCUUCAUGCCUCUACUCCUAUGCAGUUUGACCUCUCAGUGUGCAGCUGGUGAUAGAUGGAAACCCUUGUUCAUAAGCUUUGUGGCACUGUCGGCAGGAUGAGGGGACUUCUGGAUCCUCACUGGUCACUGUGGCAGAGUGGUUGGUGUUGUCUGCUCCCUAGACAGGAACCCACUGAAGAAUCUGACAUUUUUUGAUAUGCUGGCAUUCAUUGUUACAGCCCAUCAUCCCAGCCAUCAAUCCAGGACAUGGGGUCUGUGCCCACGGUGGGAAGGAGGAGGGGGAAGCUGGCUUUGUUCUGACGUUGGGCUUCUUCUGCUCCACCAGUACUUUCUGUGGGGGAAAUAGGUAAAGAAAUGGCUGUUCAGAUGAGAAGAUGUGUCAGUAAACUUUUGCUACAGUGAUGCUGCAAAACAAAUCACUGGUGACUUUCAGUGGCACACAGCAAUAAACAUUUAUUUAGCUCAGGGAUUGACAAUCUUUUUUUUUUUUUAAAGGGCCAAAUAGUAAAUAUUUUAGGUGUUUCAGGCCAUACAGUCUCUGAACUCUGAACUUGUAGCACAACAGUAGCCUUAGAUGCUAUGCAAAUGGAGGAGCAUGACUGUGUUCCAAUAAAACUUUAUUUAUGGACACUA
rnacentral:lncRNA from 1 species